AUACUUACCUGGCAGGGGAGAUACUAUGAUCACAAAGGUGGUUGUCCCAGGGCAAGGCUUAUUUAUCCAUUGCACCCCGGAUGUGCUGACCCCUGUGAUUUCCCUAAGUACUAGAAACUCAACUACAUAAUUUGUGGUAGUGGGGGACUGUGUUUGUACACUCCCCUU